GGAAGAAUGCAGCUUCAACGAACAAGGUGAUGUCUGUCAGAGUCAUUAGCUAAGAUGCUGCUACCUUCUGGCUGUCCCCUGAGGCAUCAUGGGACGUGUUGAGUCCUCUCUGACGACAGGAUUGUUGCUGAGUUUUCAGAAGAUGUAGAACGAUGAUGUGAGCGCCGACAUAUUUAAGUCAGAAUGAUGGAGGGAUGUGGCGCGUUUUCAGAGCAGGAGAGAGACAUCAGUCUUGAUGCACUAUGAAUAGACCUCUGCAGCUGUCCUGCCCUCUCAUUCAGCAACACGUACACACACUCAGACUCUCUCACACACACACACACAUUUUGAGCCGGCUUGUCCUGGGUGGCCACAAAUGAGUGGCUGCAGCUGCCCCUGAGCUUUGCUCUGGACCUGGUCUUAGCCUGGAGCCGCUCUCCAAGUUCAACAGUAUGACUUUCAAUCACUCCCUGCAGGCCUCAGACUGAUGAACUCUUUAUGGAAACCAUUAGAGCCAUGUAUUCAAGUUUCUGUGUCUGUCUGGAUGUGGUAUGUUUGCACUUAGCUGUAAACUGGGAGAAGAACAGGUCAAAGGAUUAAGACUGUCAGUCGGUGACAGGUUUAUUUUAUGAAUCAUAGUUCAUCUAUGCAUGAAAAAGUGCAUCAGGUCAUUCUGAGUCUCAGCUAUGACUACAAAUCUUGGAACAUCUUCACUCUCACUUUUGUUUCAUAAGGUCGGUAAACUGUGUUCUUAAAACUGGAGCAUUCACAUUUUUAAAGAACAUUUUAUAAUCAUCAACAACAUGAAGAGUCCAAAAAUGACGUGUCCAUGAUGUCAUUUUAAAAACGCCCUGAUUCCUGAAAGUAGUCUUCAAAAAGUGGACAACUUACUUCUGUUUGAGGGAUGAAAUGAUUUACCUCAGUCGAGCUCAAGCAGCAACCUCCGGUCUUAAGAUAUGAAGCCGAACUGUGUGUACUUAUACUUAUGUCUGUUCUGUGUCUACUUGUAUUGUUUCUUAGUAUGUGUAAUAGGACGGUCAUUAAUGGACAACUACCUUAGGAAGUUGGGAGGGUGAGGGUUGGCAGGGUAACGGGGAUUUAUUUUCUAUUGCCUUAUUUGUCCCUCCUGUGUAAUUUGGGAUUUUUUUGU